GACGAACGCUGGCGGCGCGCUUAACACAUGCAAGUCGAACGGAAAGGCCUGCUUUCCCUUGUGGAUUGCGGGUACUCGCGUGGCGAACGGGUGAGUAACACGUGAGUGAUCUGCCCCCAACUUGGGUAUAAGCCUGGGAAACUGGGUCUAAUUCCCGCUAGGACUGCAGGGUGGUGCCUGUGGUGGAAAACGAUUUUCUAGUGGUUGGGGAUGAGCUCGCGGCCUAGGAGCUAGUUGGGGGGGUAAUGGCCUACCAAGGCGGCGACGGGGAGCCGGCCCGGGAGUGAGAGGGUGCACAGUCACACUGGGACUGGGACCCGGCCCAGACGCCAAGGGGCGGCAGGAGUUGGGAAUAAUGGACAAUGGGCGGAAGCCUGAUGCAGCGACGCCGCGUGGGGGAUGACGGCCUUCGGGUGGUAAACUCCUUUCGACCGCGAGGAAGCCACCUGGUUGGAAGGGUGGUGACGGUAGUGGUAGAAGAAGCACCGGCUAACUACGUG
rnacentral:rRNA from 1 species